UGGUUCUGGCAUCGAUGAAGAACGCAGCGAAAUGCGAUAAGUAAUGCGAAUUGCAGAAUAAGUGAGUCAUCGAAUUUUUGAACGCACAUUGCGCCCCUCGGUAUUCCUUGGGGCAUGCCUGUUCGAGCGUCAUUAUCAACCCUCAAGCUAUGGCUUGCCGUUGAAUUGAUCCACUAAAGCGGAUCUUCUCCAAAGAUCGUGGCAAGGUAUUCAAAUCCUAAAUGCAAUGAGCAGUUUCAUUACUAGCACGUGUUGAUGGAAAUGAUCUCCUUCAGUCUAUCUGAAUUUUACAAGGUUGACCUCGGAUCAGGUAGGGAUACCCGCUGA
rnacentral:misc_RNA from 1 species